GUUGAGGUGUGUUUUAAUACAUAGAUGGUGAUAGUUCAGAUAAAAAAAGAAAACAAUUGAUAAUUGAGAUGUAAAACUCGCGGAAAAAUGACAGUUCAGGUAGAAAAAGAGAAUAAUUGUUACUUCAGUUAAUGUUUGUGAUCAUUUUAACUCAAUAAGAAAAAAAAGACAUUUAUUUAUAUGAAAAUGUAGGCAUAUAUAUGGGUUUUGCUAGCAUUGUCCCCAUUUUGUCUUUUCCUUAAAUGUCCCCAAUAGUACAUUAUUAGCUCAUUAACAAUGAGAGCUAGACCGCAGCAGAUAACCACAUAACAAAACAUGCAGAAUCUCUCCAACCUCUUAAAAGGCCGCAUUUCCCAUAAUCACCUUAAACAAAUCCAUGCUCGUGUUUUCCUUAUUAAUGCUCACCAAGACAACCUCAUUGCCACUCGUCUUAUUGGUCACUACCCUUCAAACAUUUCCCUUCAUAUACUUCAUCACUUAAAAACACCAAAUAUUUUCCCCUUUAACGCUGUCAUUAGAGUUCUAAGUGAAGAGGGAAACUUCACUCAUGCAUUCUUGGUAUUUAACAAGUUGAGAUUUUUAUCACUUUUCCCUAAUGAAUUAACCUUUUCUUUUCUUUUUAAAGCUUGUUCGAAUUCAAGAAAUUCAUAUUAUGUAAAACAGGUUCAUACCCUUGUUGUGAAAUUGGGAUUUAGUGAUGACCCUUUUGUUUGUAAUGGGUUGUUAAGUGUUUAUGCUAGGGGUUUGAAAGAAUUGGGUUAUGCGCGUAAGGUGUUUGAUGAAAUGCCUGAGAGAGAUGUUGUUUGUUGGACUUGUUUGAUUUCUGGAUAUGCUAAGUUGGGUUUGUGUGAGGAAGCUUUGAGUUUAUUUUUAUCUAUGGUAAAGAAGAGUUUGAUACCUCAAAAUGAUACUAUGGUUAGUGUUUUAUCUGCAUGUUCAAAACUUGAUAUGUCAAAUAUCGAGAAAUGGAUCGCGAAUUUAUGUGAUUUGGGAUGUUCUGGAUGUGAUUCGGUUAGUACUGUUCUUGUUUACUUAUAUGGAAAGUUGGGAAAUGCUGAUAAGAGUAGGGAAAAUUUUGAACAGAUUUCUAGUGAUGGGAAGAGAAGUGUGCUUUCUUGGAAUGCUAUGAUAGGCGCGUACGUUCAGAAUGGUUGUGCUCUUGAUGGUUUAUGUCUUUUCCGGUUAAUGAUGGAGCUUAAUUGUUGUUGCCCAAAUCAUGUGACAAUGGUUAGUGUGCUCUCAGCUUGUACUCAAGUUGGUGAUUUGGACCUUGGCUUGUGGGUUCAUGAGUACAUGAAAGUUAGUAGGCAAAAAAGCUUCUUACUUUUAAAUGCAAAUCUUGCAACUGCUUUGAUAGAUAUGUACUCAAAAUGCGGGAGUUUACAGAGAUCGAGAGAUGUUUUUAACCAAUUGGUUGUAAAAGAUGUUGUUUCAUUCAAUGCUAUGAUCAUGGGUCUCGCAAUAAAUGGUAAAGGUCAGGAGGCGUUAAAACUUUUCUCACAAAUGCUAGAGCUCAAUUUGAGUCCAAAUGCUGGGACAUUCCUUAGUUUGCUAUGUGCUUGCAGUCACUCAGGGUUGACAGCAAAAGGCCGUCAAAUAUUUAAGGAAAUGAGUCAAUGUUUUAGAAUUGCUCCUAAAUUGGAACAUUAUGCUAGCUAUAUUGAUCUCCUUGCUCGAGUAGGUUAUGUUGAGGAAGCACUUCAAGUUGCUACCUCAAUGCCUUUUAAACCCAAUAAUUUUGUAUGGGGAGCUUUACUAGGUGGUUGCAUGCUACAUAACAGAUUGGAAUUGGCCCAGUUUAUUUCCUCCAUUCUUGUUGAGGUGGACCCUAACAAUUCUGCUGGCUAUGUGAUGCUGUCGAAUACAUAUGCCGUUGAUCAUAACUGGAGUGCUAUUUCACGGCUGAGGUUGUCUAUGAAGGAAAAAGGAGUAGUAAAGCAGCCAGGAUGUAGCUGGAUCAACAUUGACGGAGAUGUGCAUGAAUUUCUAGCUGGGUCCUCGUCACAUGUUCUGAAUGAAAGCUUGCAUAGCGUAUUGCAGAUCUUACUGAAGGAGAUGAAGCUAACAAGUAUUUACAAGUGAAACUCUAGUAAUACUGUGUGGGAUAUUCCUUUCUUUUUCUUAAGGAAUCCUUUUUUUCACUUGAUCUGCAUGCUUUCGGAGCAGCUUGAAAGAGCAAGUCUAUCGGAGAAGGUUUUCAUUGAACCAGAUCUACAUCCUUUGAAACUAGUAUUACACCGAGGAGUUGCAAGCAGAAGCUGAAGAGAAACAUGAACGCAGUCUAGUUUCAGAAAAAAGGCUCCAAUUCAUUAACCUCCACUAGUGUCUAUGAAAUCAACAUAAACAGACAUCAACAUUCUGAAUUCUCGCAUCUGGACACCACAACUAGCAGGUAGCAGACAUCCAACUUUAGCUGAUGAGUCCUCUAACAUUUCAAGUUCUUUUAAGGAUGAGGCUGGGCAAUCUAUGGGAGCUGGACAAAAUGAUACACUAAUGUGUGCUUCAGAAUUCAACACGAGUUCUGCUUCUAAGAAACCGUCUGCAUUUAAGGCAGCAGCUGAGGAAGCAGAGCUUGACAUUCUUCUCGAUUCAGUCACCAAGAUUGAAAUUUUUGAGUCCACAAAUGUAAUUGAUUAGUCUAUUUGUCCUUACCCCGUGACACUAGCAGGAACACCAACUCUGUUAUCAGAAGAGACUUCAUCUAAGUUGGAGGUCCCAGCCAAAGAAAGGCCACGAUCUGGCCAAACUUGCAAUAUCAGAUAUCAGUUUGGAUGAUACCCUGGAUGAUCUUCUCAAAGAAACAUCAACUGUGACUAACAAAAACGAGUGUUCACCACUUAAUGAGGUAAACUCUACUGCUGGCCAUACACCCUCCGGUAGAAAAGGGGUUUGUACUGCGUUUCACAUAGAUUUUACUCGAUUGUGCAUUGAGUCGAAUCAACCCCCACGAUGGAAAUCAUAUCUGCUUAAUGUUCAAGCUUUCAUCCAUACCAUACCCAUGCUAUUCGUCUAAGUGCCGCUAUUACUCAUGCAUGUUAGCCCUUGAGUGAAAAAUGCUUUUCAGUUGCCACGCCAUGAGUAGAAGUCUGGAAUUACUAAUCUGAGGUUUUGUCGUUGCCUGUCUAUGA